AGGGAAAAGAAGGACAUGAAGGGAAAAGGGGGAAACCUAAAGAGUAAGCGUGGAAAAAUUUAAAUGGGCAACCUACAAAUAAGAGAAAAAGAGGGAAAGAAAGAAGAAUGGAUCUAGAGAAGAGAGACAAGAGCUAAAGAGAAAAAGCUUUGAGAAGUUUGUAAAAACUUGUAGAAGCAAAAUUGCAUGCUGCUAGAGAAGAAGUAGAAACAUAGUGAGCUGAGCAGAAAGGCAAAACCAAAAAGUAAAAACGAACGUUAAGCCAAAUAGAAGGCAAAAAAGCUAAA
rnacentral:lncRNA from 1 species